rnacentral:rRNA from 1 species
AGCAUAUCAAUAAGCGGAGGAAAAGAAACCAACAGGGAUUGCCCUAGUAACGGCGAGUGAAGCGGCAACAGCUCAAAUUUGAAAUCUGGCUUCGGCCCGAGUUGUAAUUUGCAGAGGAAGCUUUAGGCGCGGCACCUUCUGAGUCCCCUGGAACGGGGCGCCAUAGAGGGUGAGAGCCCCGUAUAGUUGGAUGCCUAGCCUGUGUAAAGCUCCUUCGACGAGUCGAGUAGUUUGGGAAUGCUGCUCAAAAUGGGAGGUAAAUUUCUUCUAAAGCUAAAUACCGGCCAGAGACCGAUAGCGCACAAGUAGAGUGAUCGAAAGAUGAAAAGCACUUUGAAAAGAGGGUUAAACAGCACGUGAAAUUGUUGAAAGGGAAGCGCUUGUGACCAGACUUGCGCCGGGCUGAUCAUCCGGUGUUCUCACCGGUGCACUCGGCCCGGCACAGGCCAGCAUCGGUUCUCGCGGGGGGAUAAAGGUUCCGGGAACGUAGCUCCUCCGGGAGUGUUAUAGCCCGGGGCGUAAUGCCCUCGCGGGGACCGAGGUUCGCGCAUCUGCAAGGAUGCUGGCGUAAUGGUCAUCAGCGACCCGUCUUGAAACACGGACCAAGGAGUCAAGGUUUUGCGCGAGUGUUUGGGUGUCAAACCCGCACGCGUAAUGAAAGUGAACGUAGGUGAGAGCUUCGGCGCAUCAUCGACCGAUCCUGAUGUUUUCGGAUGGAUUUGAGUAGGAGCGUUAAGCCUUGGACCCGAAAGAUGGUGAACUAUGCUUGGAUAGGGUGAAGCCAGAGGAAACUCUGGUGGAGGCUCGCAGCGGUUCUGACGUGCAAAUCGAUCGUCAAAUCUGAGCAUGGGGGCGAAAGACUAAUCGAACCAUCUAGUAGCUGGUUACCGCCGAAG